rnacentral:rRNA from 1 species
AUGAACGCUGGCGGCGUGCCUGAUACCUGCAAGUCGAGCGAACAGACGAGGAGCUUGCUCCUCUGACGUUAGCGGCGGACGGGUGAGUAACACGUGGAUAACCUACCUAUAAGACUGGGAUAACUUCGGGAAACCGGAGCUAAUACCGGAUAAUAUAUUGAACCGCAUGGUUCAAUAGUGAAAGACGGUUUUGCUGUCACUUAUAGAUGGAUCCGCGCCGCAUUAGCUAGUUGGUAAGGUAACGGCUUACCAAGGCAACGAUGCGUAGCCGACCUGAGAGGGUGAUCGGCCACACUGGAACUGAGACACGGUCCAGACUCCUACGGGAGGCAGCAGUAGGGAAUCUUCCGCAAUGGGCGAAAGCCUGACGGAGCAACGCCGCGUGAGUGAUGAAGGUCUUCGGAUCGUAAAACUCUGUUAUUAGGGAAGAACAAAUGUGUAAGUAACUAUGCACGUCUUGACGGUACCUAAUCAGAAAGCCACGGCUAACUACGUG